UCGCCCUGUGCGGGAGAGCGUCGGCGCGUCUGCGGAGACACCCCGGACGUCAGCCGGCCGCCGAAGGAGCAAGACCUCCCCGGGAAUCUCUCAGGCACCCGUACCGCGCAGGGGAA
rnacentral:ncRNA from 2 species